rnacentral:lncRNA from 1 species
GCAGUUCGUCAGUCCGGAGCAGACAAUUUCUUCAGAGAUCAUUGUAUUUUCCUGAGCAGAACUUAUGUACUUGAAGCUUUAAUCAUGAUAGAACCCACCAUGAUAGAACUGAUGUACCUAAGCAGAUUUAUUAGAACCCACCAUACAUUUUAUUUCUAUAGAUUUAUUAGAACCCACCAUGAUAGAACUGACGUACCCGAGCAGACAAUGAGAGAGAUCUUGUCAUCUCUUCUCCUGGCACGAAGAACUUAAUCAUGGA